rnacentral:tRNA from 1 species
GGCUGUCUAAUAUAAAGAUAGUAUAUCCGCCUUCCAAGCGGAAAGUUCAUAAGUUGUGAGUCAGUCA